rnacentral:rRNA from 1 species
GACGAACGCUGGCGGCGUGCCUAAUACAUGCAAGUCGAGCGAACUUUUGGGAGCUUGCUCCCAAAAGUUAGCGGCGGACGGGUGAGUAACACGUGGGCAACCUGCCUAUAAGACUGGGAUAACUUCGGGAAACCGGAGCUAUACCGGAUAACUCCUUUUUUCUCAUGAGGAAAGGCUGAAAGACGGUUUAUGCUGUCACUUAUAGAUGGGCCCGCGGCGCAUUAGCUAGUUGGUGAGGUAACGGCUCACCAAGGCAACGAUGCGUAGCCGACCUGAGAGGGUGAUCGGCCACACUGGGACUGAGACACGGCCCAGACUCCUACGGGAGGCAGCAGUAGGGAAUCUUCCGCAAUGGACGAAAGUCUGACGGAGCAACGCCGCGUGAGUGAUGAAGGUUUUCGGAUCGUAAAACUCUGUUGUUAGGGAAGAACAAGUACGAGAGUAACUGCUCGUACCUUGACGGUACCUAACCAGAAAGCCACGGCUAACUACGUGCCAGCAGCCGCCGUAAUAC